AAAUAUUAUUGUGGCAGGAUUGAAAGUUAUUGAAUGUAUUUGUUUAGUUAGUUGCGUAAAGUUAUAUUAACGUUAUGUCCAGUAUAGAGGUCAAGUCUGAAACUGUGACGUCAGUAUAUAUAUGAUAUCUGACUGGCUAGUUGGGUUGGCGCGCGAGACCUUUGUGUGACAAUAGGUAGACAGGCGAGCGACAACGGCGAAGACUGACCAGAGUGUGAGUGAGAUCUCAAUUCUAAUAUAUAGAAUUGUAUGAGCUGGGAAUUAGUAAAGGCCUUCUGCCACACAGAGGGUAAAAGAUUUACUAUAAUAAAUCACUGGUUCCAAGAAAAACUACAUCGAGCUGGGUUAUUAUUUUCACCCAUAUUCCCCUCGGUUUCAUUAUUUAUUUAAUCGC